GCCUUCGUGGUGUAUGGGUCAGCCCGCUCGACGCGUAACCGAGAGGUCCGUGGUUCGAUUCCCGGCGAAGGCG
rnacentral:tRNA from 1 species